rnacentral:tRNA from 4 species
UAGGGCGUAGCUCAACGGAAGAGCAGCGGUCUCCAAAACCGCCGGUUGCAGGUUCGAAUCCUGCCGCCUUAGCCA